UCCUACGGGAGGCAGCAGUAAGGAAUUUUCGGCAAUGGAGGAAACUCUGACCGAGCAACGCCGCGUGAACGAUGAAGUAUUUAGGUAUGUAAAGUUCUUUUAUUAAAGAAGAAAAAAUGAUGGAAAAAUCAUUCUGACGGUAUUUAAUGAAUAAGCCCCGGCUAACUAUGUGCCAGCAGCUGCGGUAAUACAUGGGGGGCAAGCGUUAUCCGGAUUUAUUGGGCGUAAAGGGUGCGUAGGCGGUUUAAUAAGUCUAUGGUCUAAGUUCAACGCUUAACGUUGUGAUGCUAUAGAAACUGUUUGACUAGAGUUGGAUAGAGGCAAGUGGAAUUCCAUGUGUAGCGGUAAAAUGCGUAAAGAUAUGGAGGAACACCAGUAGCGAAGGCGGCUUGCUGGGUCUUAACUGACGCUGAGGCACGAAAGCGUGGGGAGCAAACAGGAUUAGAUACCCUGGUAGUCCACGCCGUAAACGAUGAGUACUAAGUGUUGGGUUAAACCAGUGCUGAAGUUAACGCAUUAAGUACUCCGCCUGAGUAGUACGUACGCAAGUAUGAAACUUAAAGGAAUUGACGGGACUCCGCACAAGCGGUGGAUCAUGUUGUUUAAUUCGAAGAUACACGAAAAACCUUACCAGGUCUUGACAUACUCUGCAAAGCUAUAGAAAUAUAGUGGAGGUUAUCAGGGAUACAGGUGGUGCAUGGUUGUCGUCAGCUCGUGUCGUGAGAUGUUGGGUUAAGUCCCGCAAC
rnacentral:rRNA from 1 species